AAACCAGCACCUCAAGUGGUCAGGAGGAUUAUUGGGCCUAAAGCAUCCGUAGCCUGUUCCGUAAGUUUUCGGUUAAAUCCAUUAGCUCAACUAAUGGGCCGCCGAAAAUACUGUAGAACUAGGGAGUGGGAGAGGUAGACGGUAUUCGGUAGGAAGGGGUAAAAUCCUUUGAUCUAUUGAGGACCACCUGUGGCGAAGGCGGUCUACCAGAACACGUUCGACGGUGAGGGAUGAAAGCUGGGGGAGCAAACCGGAUUAGAAACCCCGGUAGUCC
rnacentral:rRNA from 1 species